AUUGAACGCUGGCGGCAGGCCUAACACAUGCAAGUCGAGCGGAUGAGAGGAGCUUGCUUCUCGAUUCAGCGGCGGACGGGUGAGUAAUGCCUAGGAAUCUGCCUGGUAGUGGGGGACAACGUUUCGAAAGGAACGCUAAUACCGCAUACGUCCUACGGGAGAAAGCAGGGGACCUUCGGGCCUUGCGCUAUCAGAUGAGCCUAGGUCGGAUUAGCUAGUUGGUGAGGUAAUGGCUCACCAAGGCGACGAUCCGUAACUGGUCUGAGAGGAUGAUCAGUCACACUGGAACUGAGACACGGUCCAGACUCCUUCGGGAGGCAGCAGUGGGGAAUAUUGGACAAUGGGCGAAAGCCCGAUCCAGCCAUGCCGCGUGUGUGAAGAAGGUCUUCGGAUUGUAAAGCACUUUAAGUUGGGAGGAAGGGUUGUAGAUUAAUACUCUGCAAUUUUGACGUUACCGACAGAAUAAGCACCGGCUAACUCUGUGCCAGCCGCCGCAGUAACAC
rnacentral:rRNA from 1 species